rnacentral:rRNA from 1 species
AAACCAACGUGGAUUCCCCUAGUAGCGGCGAGCGAAGCGGGACGAGCUCAACUUUGUAAUCUGGCGCCCUCGGCGUCCGACUUGUAGUCUCACGAAGCGUGACCCGCCCCGGCCCGCGCCCAAGUCGCAUGGUUGCGACGUCAGAGAGGGUGCAAACCCCGUCGACGGCGCGGACGCCCGGGGCUGUGGUGGUCCGCUCUCCAAGAGUCGAGUUGUUUGGGAAUGCAGCUCCAAUCGGGUGGUAAAUUCCAUCUAAGGCUAAAUAGCGGCGAGAGACCGAUAGCGAACAAGUACCGUGAGGGAAAGAUGAAAAGCACUUUGGAAAGAGGAUGAAAGAACACGUGAAAUUGCUUUGUUGGAAACGCUUGAAGUCAGGUACGCGUGGGCGGGGUUCAGCCGGGCUUCGGCCUUGGUGUACGGCCCGCCCGUUUUGCGCGCCAGCAUCGGUUCUGGGCGCCGGACAUGGGCUCGAGCAAGGUAGCACCCUCGGGUGUGUUUAUAGGCUCGCGGCAGGUACGGCGUCGAGGGACCGGGGACCGCAGCGCGCCCUCGUGGCCACCGUCUCGGCGGUGCACGCGCUUUGGAUGCUGGUGGAAUGGCUUUAAACGAC